AGAGUUUGUUUCACAUUUCUAGAAUUAAAGACAACAAGCAUUUGCCUUGUAAUGGUUAGGAACCCCCACAGCCCUUCCACCCCCUCUACCAGAGGUUAGGAACCCCCACAGGCCUUCCACCCCCUCUUCCAGAGGUUAGGAACCCCCACAGCCCUUCCACCCCCUCUACCAGAGGUUAGGAACCCCCACAGCCCUUCCACCCCCUCUACCAGAGGUUAGGAACCCCCACAGCCCUUCUACCCCCUCUUCCAGAGGUUAGGAACCUCCACAGGCCUUCCACCCCCUCUACCAGAGGUUAGGAACCCCCACAGCCCUUCCACCCCCUCUUCCAGAGGUUAGGAACCCCCACAGCCCUUCCACCCCCUCUACCAGAGGUUAGGAACCCCCACAGCCGUUCCACCCCCUCUACCAGAGCCGGCUGUUGACCUGUGACUCCAGCAUCAUGUGACUAGAGUCAGUACAGGCUGUUGAGCUGUGUGUGUGUGUGUGUGUCCACUGAGUACUGAGCAGCAGGUA